AUUUCAACACAGACUUUUUUUUUUUCAUUGCCAAUCAUUGACACAAUUCAAAUAGGCAUAUUAUUGUUGGAAGAUCUUCCACUUCACCCAUUAACUCAAGAGGACAUCCUUUUCAGUUAAGCAAUACUAAAGAGGAGGGAGCUAAAAGCUUUAAAAGAGAUCAAGAAACUCAUUAUGCUGCAACAAGCGUCCACAACACUUCCCAGAGCUUCUGUGACAUUUUGAGAUUGUUAAUAGUAAAAAAAAAAAAAAAAAAAAAACUCUUGGCAGUCUGUUUCACUGAGUUACAUCUAUCUUUACUGUGGCAAAGAUGUUUAUGGAUGAGCGGAUUGUAACUCUGUUCAAAAGGAAUGCCCAUCACACGUUGACCUACUGGAGUGUUUUCUUCAGCUUUGGACUCUGCAUCGCUUUCCUUGGACCUACAAUUUUGGACUUGCAGUGUCAAACAAACUCAACGCUCAGUCAGAUUACCUGGGUAUUCUUCGCCCAGCAGUUCUGCUUGUUGAUUGGCAGCUCCAUUGGUGGCGUUUUCAAGCGCACGUUGUUCAGUGCUCUUUCUGCCUUAUUUGUCUCUGCUCUCAUCAUCUCUGUAAUAUUUGCCAUCAUCCCUCUGUGUAAUAAUGUUCUCCUGUUGGCCAUCGCCAUGGCUGUGUCUGGUUUGGCGAUGGGUAUUAUUGACACCAUCGCUAACAUCCAAUUGGUGACCAUCUAUCAGAAGGACUCUGCUGUUUUUUUACAGGCUCUUCAUUUCUUCAUUGGGUUUGGAGCCCUGGUGAGCCCACUGAUUGCAGAUCCUUUCCUCUCCGAGACGGGCUGUGGGAAUCACACAGGGAAUGGGACUGAGAUCAUGCAUCAUUUCAGGAACAUGCUGAGAAACAGUCCGAUUGCAGAGCACAACAUAACUCAGAGCCACCUGCCCCAUGAGGGAGGGGAAGAGGAGUCCAUUGUGCACUAUGCUUUCUGGAUCAUGGCACUUAUUAAUCUGCCUGUGCCCAUUGCAGUCCUGUUCUUGAUGUAUAGGGAGAAGCUGAUCCCAUGCUGCCCCAACAGCACUCCUCGUCUUCUGGACAAAGAUGAACUAGCAAUGGAGAACCAGCAGGGGGCUGAAGGCACAGACGAGGAGCAGAGGGAACAUGAAGCUGGAGGUCAUGGGGAUAUCUUUAGCUGCUGUCAGAAUGAUAACCUGCGCGGCCUGCCAGUAUCCUUCUUUAUGAUUCAUGUCCUUGGUGGGAUGGUGCUCUUCAUGACCGAUGGUAUUGUGGGUGCGUAUGCCGGGUUUGUGUACACCUACGCUGUGACACCACCAAUGUCACUGCCUCAUAAGACAGCAGGUUACCUGGCCAGUAUCUUUUGGGCAGCAAUCACUGCUGGACGUCUGCUGUCCAUACCUCUCUCGUAUCGUUUCCAGCCUGUGCGACUGCUCAUGUUCAACCUGGCUGGUGCUAUUGUUACUGUGUUGAUGCUGCUUAUUUUCUACACCAGCAGCAUCUUUUUAUUUGUUGGUACCUGCUUAUGUGGCUUGUUCCUCAGCAGCAUCUUCCCCUGUAUGCUUGCCUAUACUGAAGACAUCCUUGAUUAUCAGGGAUGUGCAACCUCAGUCCUGGUGACAAGUGCAGGGAUGGGAGAGAUGGUGAUGCAGGUUCUGGUUGGCUCAUUCAAUGUUGCUGCCUCAUCCCUAGAUUAUCCAGACUGAAGGCAGCUACAGCUUCCUGCUGUGCGGAAUGAUAAUCGCCUGCAUUGGAUUUAUCCUCUUCAUUGGCCUCCUGCUGUUCCAUCGAAUGCACAGAAAUUACCUCACAGGAACAUCGAAAAAGUCUGCCAUGGUAGAGGAACCAGCAGCAGAGCAAAAUGGAUCUGCCAAAGCAGAACAGAAAGAGGAGAAAGAGAGCAGCUGAGAGGGGAAGCAGCUUUGUUUUGUCCUUUACUGGCUACUGUAGAAAAUGUAUUACAACAAUUUGUCAUCAAAGACUUCAGAUGAUUUACCAAAGCCUACCAAAUGAACACUGUGCUAAUAUACUUUUAUUGUGCUGGAAAUGACAUGGUAUUAGAGGUUAGAGGUUAUAGUUCAAACUACUCUGACUGUGUAGACUCUUAGUUUUUGUAUUCGAAAACAAUGAUCAUCAGAUAAUGUCAAGUUUUUAUUCUGCAUCAAGGAUAAUGAUUAUAUCUGCAGUUUGCAAUGGAAACUAUACCUUUGUACACCAUUUUUCCCUUUUCAAUCAUAAUCUCUUGUUGUAUUAUUUUAUUUUAUGUGUUUUUGCAUAUCUUUUGGCAUGUGUAAAAGGAAACAUAUACAUACUGUAUAAUAACAAUACUGACAUUGUAUUUUGUUACUGAUAACAAAGGAAAGAAUGUGCAUACAUACAA